rnacentral:rRNA from 1 species
ACACGACUACAUUAGAUACCCGUGUAGUCCUAGCCGUAAACGAUACUCGCUAGGUGUCGGCCACGGUGCGACCGUUGUCGGUGCCGUAGGGAAGCCGUGAAGCGAGCCACCUGGGAAGUACGGCCGCAAGGCUGAAACUCAAAGGAAUUGGCGGGGGAGCACCACAACGGGUGGAGCCUGCGGUUUAAUUGGACUCAACGCCGGGAAGCUCACCGGAUAAGACAGCGGAAUGAUUGCCGGGCUGAAGACCCUGCAUGACCAGCUG